rnacentral:pre_miRNA from 13 species
CGGGGACCCACGCGGCAGUCUCCCUGGUGCAGUGGUUCUUAACAGUUCAACAGUUCUCUGGCCUAAUUGUGAAAUGUUUAGGACCACUUGACCCGGGCAGGCCUCGGCAGCGGCGAAGGC